rnacentral:rRNA from 1 species
UACAGAGGUCCCAAGCGUUGUUCGGAUUUACUGGGCGUAAAGGGCGCGUAGGCGGCCACUGCAAGUCAGUUGUGAAAUCUCCGGGCUUAACCCGGAAAGGUCAACUGAUACUGCAGGGCUAGAGUGCAGAAGGGGCAACUGGAAUUCUCGGUGUAGCGGUGAAAUGCGUAGAUAUCGAGAGGAACACCUGCGGCGAAGGCGGGUUGCUGGGCUGACACUGACGCUGAGGCGCGAAAGCCAGGGGAGCGAACGGG